rnacentral:rRNA from 1 species
ACAUGCAGCCGAGCGGUAGAGAUUCUUCGGAAUCUUGAGAGCGGCGUACGGGUGCGGAACACGUGUGCAACCUGCCUUUAUCAGGGGGAUAGCCUUUCGAAAGGAAGAUUAAUACCCCAUAAUAUAUUGAAUGGCAUCAUUUAAUAUUGAAAACUCCGGUGGAUAGAGAUGGGCACGCGCAAGAUUAGAUAGUUGGUGAGGUAACGGCUCACCAAGUCUACGAUCUUUAGGGGGCCUGAGAGGGUGAUCCCCCACACUGGUACUGAGACACGGACCAGACUCCUACGGGAGGCAGCAGUGAGGAAUAUUGGACAAUGGGUGCGAGCCUGAUCCAGCCAUCCCGCGUGAAGGACGACGGCCCUAUGGGUUGUAAACUUCUUUUGUAUAGGGAUAAACCUAGAUACGUGUAUCUAGCUGAAGGUACUAUACGAAUAAGCACCGGCUAACUCCGUGCCAGCAGCCGCGGUAAUACGGAGGGUGCAAGCGUUAUCCGGAUUUAUUGGGUUUAAAGGGUCCGUAGGCGGAUUUGUAAGUCAGUGGUGAAAUCUCACAGCUUAACUGUGAAACUGCCAUUGAUACU